rnacentral:tRNA from 2 species
GCCGCGGUGUUGGAAUUGGCAGACAAGAUGGACUCAAAAUCCAUUGGUGGCGACACCGUGAGAGUUCAAAUCUCUCCCGCGGCA